CGACUCGGAUCUCGGAUCUGACGCCACGCCCGUCCACAUCGAGGGGGCGGCCACUCAGUUCACAUUGAGGACUGGUCAAACAGCAUGUGCAGCAUCUGAUCCCGUUUCUGACCUGAAAUUAGCUGAAAUGUACCUGAAAUUACCUGAAAUUAGAGUGUGCCCGCCCGAGCUAGUGAUGCCUAAAACAUGCAAAGACACGUCAGUGUAAUUGUGAAUGGCGAGAGCCCUGAAAUACAGCUGGACAGCAGCGGUCUACAUCACUGCCCCUUCUGCAGAUACAAAGGGUCAAAAUGUGAUAUCGACCAUCACAUUAAAUGCCAUGCCUCGGUUAAAUACAGAGGUCUGCAGAGGAGCUUUCAGGAAGCAGGAAGAGAAGACGGGAGGAAAAAAAAGCUACAGGAUAAAGAUCUCUGCACAAAAAGGGCUAGAGUUGCUCCAACAGCAUCCAGCUCUGAAGGAUCAGGUCAUGUAUAGACUGUUAAUCCAGGAAGAUUAUGUUGUCCUGAAGGACACAAUUCAGGCAGCAGCAUGGUGCCAGUUACAGUCCUUCAAGGACAGCGUUUCUCUCCCAGAGGUCAUUGGGAUGGAAGGUUGGGAGCAGAUGGCAGCUUCAACACAGCGCAAAUCCCAUGACGGCGGGGAUGAGGAAGAAACGUGGAAACCAUUCCAAUUCUCAUUCAGAUUACAUACUGACUAUGAACUGUUCUGUGUGGAGAGGAUGGACAGGAGAAACCUGAAGGUGUUUGCCUCUUUUGAGUCAAACACCUCUCCCCCUCCCCGUCCCCCCUCCCCGUGA
rnacentral:lncRNA from 1 species